rnacentral:tRNA from 1 species
GAUGGUAUAGCUCAGGGGUAGAGUGCGUGCUUAGCAUGCAUGGGUUCAAAUCCCACUACCUCCA